AGUGAACGCUAGCGGCAGGCCUAACACAUGCAAGUCGAACGGCAGCACAGUAAGAGCUUGCUCUUACGGGUGGCGAGUGGCGGACGGGUGAGGAAUACAUCGGAAUCUACUUUUUCGUGGGGGAUAACGUAGGGAAACUUACGCUAAUACCGCAUACGACCUACGGGUGAAAGCAGGGGAUCUUCGGACCUUGCGCGAUUGAAUGAGCCGAUGUCGGAUUAGCUAGUUGGCGGGGUAAAGGCCCACCAAGGCGACGAUCCGUAGCUGGUCUGAGAGGAUGAUCAGCCACACUGGAACUGAGACACGGUCCAGACUCCUACGGGAGGCAGCAGUGGGGAAUAUUGGACAAUGGGCGCAAGCCUGAUCCAGCCAUACCGCGUGGGUGAAGAAGGCCUUCGGGUUGUAAAGCCCUUUCGUUGGGAAAGAAAAGCAGCAGGUUAAUACCCCGCUGUUCUGACGGUACCCAAAGAAUAAGCACCGGCUAACUUCGUG
rnacentral:rRNA from 1 species